rnacentral:lncRNA from 10 species
GCAGCAGAAACAGAUGAACUCUCAAGAAAUAAAGAUCUCGUUUUCAUGGAAAUCAUCUCCCAAGAACAAGAGAAAAAAAUAAAGAAAAUGUAUGAGAGACUUGGGAUUGCUGUAAAAGACAACAGGUGUCAGAGUUUUCUAUGAAGACUUCACUAUUCCUUGAGGCUACAGCUUCAGACACAGCCAAGUAUAAUGCUCUUGCUUCAUGAAGCCAAACAGCCACUUUCUUCUCUGGAAUGUUAAUCUGCUCUUAUUGGAGUUAGCAACCCCAGGAGGAUCGCUUCCUG